rnacentral:rRNA from 1 species
GAUGAACGCUGGCGGCGUGCCUAAUACAUGCAAGUCGAGCGAACGGACGAGAAGCUUGCUUCUCUGAUGUUAGCGGCGGACGGGUGAGUAACACGUGGAUAACCUACCUAUAAGACUGGGAUAACUUCGGGAACCCGGAGCUAAUACCGGAUAAUAUUUUGAACCGCAUGGUUCAAAAGUGAAAGACGGUCUUGCUGUCACUUAUAGAUGGAUCCGCGCUGCAUUAGCUAGUUGGUAAGGUAACGGCUUACCAAGGCAACGAUGCAUAGCCGACCUGAGAGGGUGAUCGGCCACACUGGAACUGAGACACGGUCCAGACUCCUACGGGAGGCAGCAGUAGGGAAUCUUCCGCAAUGGGCGAAAGCCUGACGGAGCAACGCCGCGUGAGUGAUGAAGGUCUUCGGAUCGUAAAACUCUGUUAUUAGGGAAGAACAUAUGUGUAAGUAACUGUGCACAUCUUGACGGUACCUAAUCAGAAAGCCGCGGCUAACUACGUGCCAGCAGCCGCGGUAAUACGUAGGUGGCAAGCGUUAUCCGGAAUUAUUGGGCGUAAAGCGCGCGUAGCGGUUUUUUAGUCUGAUGUGAAAGCCCACGGCUCAACCGUGGAGGGUCAUUGGAAACUGGAAAACUUGAGUGCAGAAUUAGGAAAGUGGAAUUCCAUGUGUAGCGGUGAAAUGCGCAGAGAUAUGGAGGAACACCAGUGGCGAAGGCGACUUUCUGGUCUGUAACUGACGCUGAUGUGCGAAAGCGUGGGGAUCAAACAGGAUUAGAUACCCUGGUAGUCCACGCCGUAAACGAUGAGUGCUAAGUGUUAGGGGGUUUCCGCCCCUUAGUGCUGCAGCUAACGCAUUAAGCACUCCGCCUGGGGAGUACGACCGCAAGGUUGAAACUCAAAGGAAUUGACGGGGACCCGCACAAGCGGUGGAGCAUGUGGUUUAAUUCGAAGCAACGCGAAGAACCUUACCAAAUCUUGACAUCCUUUGACAACUCUAGAGAUAGAGCCUUCCCCUUCGGGGGACAAAGUGACAGGUGGUGCAUGGUUGUCGUCAGCUCGUGUCGUGAGAUGUUGGGUUAAGUCCCGCAACGAGCGCAACCCUUAAGCUUAGUUGCCAUCAUUAAGUUGGGCACUCUAAGUUGACUGCCGGUGACAAACCGGAGGAAGGUGGGGAUGACGUCAAAUCAUCAUGCCCCUUAUGAUUUGGGCUACACACGUGCUACAAUGGACAAUACAAAGGGCAGCGAAACCGCGAGGUCAAGCAAAUCCCAUAAAGUUGUUCUCAGUUCGGAUUGUAGUCUGCAACUCGACUACAUGAAGCUGGAAUCGCUAGUAAUCGUAGAUCAGCAUGCUACGGUGAAUACGUUCCCGGGUCU